AAGAUAAUACCUAUAGAUAGUGAGAACCGUUACUCGCAAACUAAGCAGCCAGGCUAACUCUGUGCCAGCAGCCGCGGUAAUACAGAGGGUGCAAGCGUUAAUCGGAUUUACUGGGCGUAAAGCGCGCGUAGGCGGCUAAUUAAGUCAAAUGUGAAAUCCCCGAGCUUAACUUGGGAAUUGCAUUCGAUACUGGUUAGCUAGAGUGUGGGAGAGGAUGGUAGAAUUCCAGGUGUAGCGGUGAAAUGCGUAGAGAUCUGGAGGAAUGCCGAUGGCGAAGGCAGCCAUCUGGCCUAACACUGACGCUGAGGUGCGAAAGCAUGGGGAGCAAACAGGAUUAGAUACCCUGGUAGUCCAUGCCGUAAACGAUGUCUACUAGCCGUUGGGGCCUUUGAGGCUUUAGUGGCGCAGCUAACGCGAUAAGUAGACCGCCUGGGGAGUACGGUCGCAAGACUAAAACUCAAAUGAAUUGACGGGGGCCCGCACAAGCGGUGGAGCAUGUGGUUUAAUUCGAUGCAACGCGAAGAACCUUACCUGGCCUUGACAUAGUAAGAACUU
rnacentral:rRNA from 1 species